GACGAACGCUGGCGGCGUGCUUAACACAUGCAAGUCGAGCGGUAAGGCCCUUUCGGGGGUACACGAGCGGCGAACGGGUGAGUAACACGUGGGUGACCUGCCCUCAGCUCUGGGAUAAGCCUGGGAAACUGGGUCUAAUACCGGAUAUGACUCCAUGACGCAUGUUGUGGGGUGGAAAGCCUUGUGCGGCUGAGGAUGGGCCCGCGGCCUAUCAGCUUGUUGGUGGGGUGAUGGCCUACCAAGGCGACGACGGGUAGCCGGCCUGAGAGGGCGACCGGCCACACUGGGACUGAGACACGGCCCAGACUCCUACGGGAGGCAGCAGUGGGGAAUCUUGCGCAAUGGGCGAAAGCCUGACGCAGCGACGCCGCGUGAGGGAUGACGGCCUCGGUU
rnacentral:rRNA from 1 species